UAGUCCACGCCGUAAACGAUGUGUGCUAGUUGUCGGGACCAUAGGUUCCGGUGACGGAGCGAAAGUAUUAAGCACACCGCCUGGGGAGUACGGCCGCAAGGUUAAAACUCAAAGGAAUUGACGGGGACCCGCACAAGCGGUGGAGCAUGUUCUUUAAUUCGAAGCAACGCGAAGAACCUUACCUACACUUGACAUCCCGGUUGGGAAUUGCAGAGAUGCUUUUCUUCAUUUAGUUGGACCGGUGACAGGUGCUGCAUGGCUGUCGUCAGCUCGUGUCGUGAGAUGUUGGGUUAAGUCCCGNAACGAGCGCAACCCUUAUUGUCUGUUGCCAUCAUUUAGUUGGGCACUCUGACAAGACUGCCGGUGAUAAGCCGGAGGAAGGCGGGGACGACGUCAAGUCAUCAUGGCCCUUACGUGUAGGGGCUA
rnacentral:rRNA from 1 species